GCUAAACGCGAAGAACCUUACCAAGGCUUGACAUACACCAGAACACCCUAGAAAUAGGGGACUCUUUGGACACUGGUGAACAGGUGGUGCAUGGUUGUCGUCAGCUCGUGUCGUGAGAUGUUGGGUUAAGUCCCGCAACGAGCGCAGCCCCUCGUUCUAUGUUGCCAGCACGUAAUGGUGGGAACUCAUGGGAUACUGCCGGGGUCAACUCGGAGGAAGGUGGGGAUGACGUCAAAUCAUCAUGCCCCUUAUGUCUUGGGCUUCACGCAUGCUACAAUGGCCGGUACAAAGGGCUGCAAUACCGUGAGGUGGAGCGAAUCCCAAAAAGCCGGUCCCAGUUCGGAUUGAGGUCUGCAACUCGACCUCAUGAAGUCGGAGUCGCUAGUAAUGGCAGAUCAGCAUGCUGCCGUGAAUACGUUCCCGGGUCUUGUACACACCG
rnacentral:rRNA from 1 species